UCUGAGGACAGUAUAUUAGGUGGAAUUUUGGACUUAGGAGGUGGAAUAGGAGCUUGCUCCGUCCACUCCACGCAUCGACCUGGUAUUGCAGUACCUCCAGGAACGGUGC
rnacentral:snRNA from 1 species